rnacentral:rRNA from 1 species
GACGAACGCUGGCGGCGUGCUUAACACAUGCAAGUCGAACGGAGUGGCGAACGGGUGAGUAACACGUGGGUGAUCUGCCUUGCACUUCGGGAUAAGCUUCGGAAACUGGGUCUAAUACCGGAUAGUGCAAGAUGAGCUCGCGGCCUAUCAGCUUGGUGGUGGGGUAAUGGCCUACCAAGGCGUCGACGGGUAGCCGGCCUUGGAGGGGGUACGGGCACAUUGGGCCUGAGAUACGGCCCAGGCUCCUACGGGAGGCAUGAGUGGGGAAUAUUACACAAUGGGGGGAAGCCUGAUGCGACGACGCCGCGUGGGGAAUGAAGGCCUGCGGGUUGUAAACUCCUUUCGACAGGGACGCGGUACCUGUAUAAGAAGCACCGGCUAACUACGUGCCAGCCGCCGCGGUAAUUC